rnacentral:rRNA from 1 species
AACACGUAGGUAAUCUACCCUUUGGCGGGGGACAACAUUCCGAAAGGGGUGCUAAUACCGCAUAAGACCACGCUGUCCUCGGACGAAGUGGGAAAAGGUGGCCUCUUCUUGAAAGCUAUCACCAAAGGAUGAGCCUGCGUCCCAUCAGCUAGUUGGUAAGGUAAUGGCUUACCAAGGCGAAGACGGGUAGCUGGUUUGAGAGAAUGAUCAGCCACACUGGCACUGGAACACGGGCCAG